AUUGAACGCUGGCGGCAGGCUUAACACAUGCAAGUCGAGCGGAGAUGAGGUGCUUGCACCUUCUCUUAGCGGCGGACGGGUGAGUAAUGCUUAGGAAUCUGCCUAUUAGUGGGGGACAACAUUCCGAAAGGAAUGCUAAUACCGCAUACGCCCUACGGGGGAAAGCAGGGGAUCUUCGGACCUUGCGCUAAUAGAUGAGCCUAAGUCGGAUCAGCUAGUUGGUGGGGUAAAGGCCUACCAAGGCGACGAUCUGUAGCGGGUCUGAGAGGAUGAUCCGCCACACUGGGACUGAGACACGGCUCAGACUCCUACGGGAGGCAGCAGUGGGGAAUAUUGGACAAUGGGCGGAAGCCUGAUCCAGCCAUGCCGCGUGUGUGAAGAAGGCCUUUUGGUUGUAAAGCACUUUAAGCGAGGAGGAGGCUACCUGGAUUAAUACUCUAGGAUAGUGGACGUUACUCGCAGAAUAAGCACCGGCUAACUCUGUGCCAGCCGCCGCCGUAAGAC
rnacentral:rRNA from 1 species